AGUGAACGCUGGCGGCGUGCUUAACACAUGCAAGUCGAACGGACUUAAGGGGCUUGCUUCUUAAGUUAGUGGCGCACGGGUGAGUAAUAUAUAGCUAACCUGCCCUUUAGUGGGGGACAACAGUUGGAAACGACUGCUAAUACCCUAUACUCCUUCUAGCCUCAAGGUUAGUCGGGAAGAUUUAUCGCUAAAGGAUGGGGCUUUAUUGUAUCAGCUAGUUGGUGAGGUAAUGGCUCACCAAGGCUAUGACGCAUACCUGGUCUGAGAGGAUGAUCAGGCACACUGGAACUGAGACACGGUCCAGACUCCUACGGGAGGCAGCAGUGGGGAAUAUUGCACAAUGGACGCAAGUCUGAUGCAGCAACGCCGCGUGGAGGAUGACGCAUUUCGGUGUGUAAACUCCUUUUAUAGGGAAGGAUAAUGACGGUACCCUAUGAAUAAGCACCGGCUAACUCCGUGCCAGCAGCCGCGGUAAAGU
rnacentral:rRNA from 1 species